GUUUUUCACUUAAAGAAAUAAAAGAUGAAAUUAUAACGAUUAUUUUUGCAGGUCAGGAUACAGUUACUACAGCAUUAGGAUUCUCCUUGUGUCUUCUUGGUAGACAUAAAAACGUUCAGGAUAAACUUUAUGAAGAGACAGUGACAAAGUUGGAUAAAGAUGAUUGCUAUAUAACCUACGAUUCGUUGAAGGACCUGGAGUAUUUGGGUCGAGUUGUUCAAGAAACAUUAAGAUUAUAUCCAUCAGC